UUUUAAGGAGCUGUAAAGCGUUUUUAUUGUUAAUGAAAUGAAGUAUUUAAUAA
rnacentral:tRNA from 1 species